rnacentral:rRNA from 1 species
AUUGAACGCUGGCGGCAGGCUUAACACACGCAAGUCGAGCGGGGUGAUGGUGCUUGCACUAUCACUUAGCGGCGGACGGGUGAGUAAUGCUUAGGAAUCUGCCUAUUAGUGGGGGACAACAUCUCGAAAGGGAUGCUAAUACCGCAUACGUCCUACGGGAGAAAGCAGGGGAUCACUUGUGACCUUGCGCUAAUAGAUGAGCCUAAGUCGGAUUAGCUAGUUGGUGGGGUAAAGGCCUACCAAGGCGACGAUCUGUAGCGGGUCUGAGAGGAUGAUCCGCCACACUGGGACUGAGACACGGCCCAGACUCCUACGGGAGGCAGCAGUGGGGAAUAUUGGACAAUGGGGGGAACCCUGAUCCAGCCAUGCCGCGUGUGUGAAGAAGGCCUUAUGGUUGUAAAGCACUUUAAUCGAGGAGGAGGCUCUUUUGGUUAAUACCCAAGAUGAGUGGACGUUACUCGCAGAAUAAGCACCGGCUAACUCUGUGCCAGCAGCCGCCGUAA